rnacentral:rRNA from 1 species
GAUGAACGCUGGCGGCGUGCCUAAUACAUGCAAGUCGAGCGAACAGAUGAGAAGCUUGCUUCUCUGAUGUUAGCGGCGGACGGGUGAGUAACACGUGGGUAACCUACCUAUAAGACUGGGAUAACUCCGGGAAACCGGGGCUAAUACCGGAUAAUAUUUUGAACCGCAUGGUUCAAUAGUGAAAGACGGUUUCGGCUGUCACUUAUAGAUGGACCCGCGCCGUGUUAGCUAGUUGGUAAGGUAACGGCUUACCAAGGCGACGAUACGUAGCCGACCUGAGAGGGUGAUCGGCCACACUGGAACUGGGACACGGUCCAGACUCCUACGGGAGGCAGCAGUAGGGAAUCUUCCGCAAUGGGCGAAAGCCUGACGGAGCAACGCCGCGUGAGUGAUGAAGGUCUUCGGAUCGUAAAACUCUGUUGUUAGGGAAGAACAAAUUUGUUAGUAACUGAACAAGUCUUGACGGUACCUAACCAGAAAGCCACGGCUAACUACGUGCCAGCCGCCGCAGUAA